GCCCUUAUAAAAGAACAAUUCAAUGAGGUCUCGAGAAAGAAAUUGGCCACAUGGUUACUUAGGCAAAUGAGAAUUAGAUAUUUCGAGCUACGGAAAGGAAUACAUUUAAAAUUACAGAUGCUCUUUUGUGGGGAAACGAGAUCAGGAGGCUAGCACUUUUUAUACCAAGAAAGCACAGGCCAAAUAAUUUUUUAUGUCAAGGAUGA
rnacentral:lncRNA from 1 species